rnacentral:rRNA from 1 species
UACGUAGGGAGCAAGCGUUGUCCGGAAUCAUUGGGCGUAAAGCGCGCGUAGGCGGCCCUGUAAGUCCGCUGUGAAAGUCAAAGGCUCAACCUUUGAAAGCCGGUGGAUACUGCAGGGCUAGAGUCCGGGAAGAGGCGAGUGGAAUUCCUGGUGUAGCGGUGGAAUGCGCAGAUAUCAGGAGGAACACCAAUAGCGAAGGCAGCUCGCUGGGACGGUACUGACGCUAAGGCGCGAAAGCGUGGGGAGCGAACAGG